UGGGGAAUCUUGCACAAUGGGGGAAACCCUGAUGCAGCGACGCCGCGUGAGCGAUGAAGCCCUUCGGGGUGUAAAGCUCUUUCGGCAGGGACGAAAGUGACGGUACCUGCAGAAGCAGCUGCGGCUAACUACGUGCCAGCAGCCGCGGUAAUACGUAGGGUGCAAGCGUUAAUCGGAAUUACUGGGCGUAAAGCGUGCGCAGGCGGUUUUGUAAGACGGAUGUGAAAUCCCCGGGCUUAACCUGGGAACUGCAUUCGUGACUGCAAGGCUAGAGUAUGGCAGAGGGAGGUAGAAUUCCACGUGUAGCAGUGAAAUGCGUAGAGAUGUGGAGGAAUACCGAUGGCGAAGGCAGCCCCCUGGGCCAAUACUGACGCUCAUGCACGAAAGCGUGGGGAGCAAACA
rnacentral:rRNA from 1 species